GCGGAUGAAUGACGUAAUCAGGCCGCGCCGCGGUGCUCAACGGGGUACCUGCGGAGUUCGGUCGCUCCCAGCCCGUCUGGGCGUCACCCCGCCUGGCGCUUUCGUACCGACGGCUGGGACCCCAGUAGGCGGGUGGUCUAAGAGGAGAGAACCGAGUUACCUGGGCUAACUCACCAGCCCCACCGCGCAGGUGGCUCUACGCCCGCUCUCUGGCAUCACUUAGGGUACACAGCUGGGCUUGGAGGAGUUCGCCCUGAUUUUCACAAGUGCACAUGUGAAUCGAGUCAGGGAGCAUUCAGGGGUUUGCUCUUUGUGAGCUCGCUGUUCUCCAGCUAGACCCACUUCUCAUAUACCCCAAGGCUCUCUUGGGUAGGAGUCUGGGAGAGUGGGACUGGGCAGAAGUUAUACUAGAGCUGUUGUGAGCACACAUCUUUGAGAACAGUAAAUGCUUUGGAUGUGUACCUUUGAGGGGACACGGUUCGAGCUCCUGGUCCGGGAAGAUCCCACAUGCUGCGGAGCAACUAAGCCCGUGUGCCGCAACUACUGAGCCUGAGAUCUAUAGAGCCCAGCCUGCACUCUGCAGAGCCCACAAGCCACAACUACUGAGCCCGCAUGCCACAACUACUGAAGCUCAUGCACCUAGAGCUUGUGCUCCACAACAAGAGAAGCCACCGCAAUGAGAAGCCCGUGCACCGCAACGAUGAGUAGCCCCCGCUUGCCGCAACGAAAGAAAGGCCGCGUGCAGCAACAGACCCAAUGCAACCAAAAAUAAAUAAUUUUAUAAAAAGAAAAGUGUUACCAAGGAGGAUGGCACCAAGACUACUCAGACAAGAACACAACACUGAAAUGGACGCCACACAAGUGCCAGGUAGGAAUUAUUGAUGGCAGAGAGAGAAGGUAAGGCUUUAGAGAGGAGCAAGGAUUCAAGCUGGGCUUGAGUGGCUGACAGGAUUUUACCGGGCAGCAGUCAUGUGCAGAACAGUUAACAGGAACAGGGUGUUGGAGAGUAACUGGGGCAAGACUUUUCAUCCUUGAUUGCUCAGUGCCAAACUUGGCCUGUGAGUGUCCUGUGAAUGUUUGUGAAGGCAGUAAAUGAAAGGGAGGUGGUUGUCAGGGCCUAGAGGGUCUUGAAUACCUGGCUUUAGUUUUUUGAGGUAAUUGGUAGGUUCCCUCAUACAGCUGCCCAAAUGUUGAAUGCUUAAUUGCUCCAAGACUCUGGUCCCGUAAAGGGACAGGAUUAUACUUCCAUUUGUUAAUGCUGAUUAGGUUCUACCAAAUAAAAGAGCAGUAGCUUAAUCUCAGGGGUGGUGUACUGGCACUGGCUCUCUGAAGGGUUAUUCUCAGUAGUACAGGGAUGGGUGCGAGCUGGCAAGGUCCAAUAGGGAAUCCCUGAAGUCCAAAGAAGAUGCUGCUGGCUGUGCAACUUUCCGGGAGAGAAGCAAAGUGGGCUGUUUUUCUUUUUCUACUAAUAUCAAGUACAUUAGAAUGAUAAUACAGGCUUCAAUCUAUCAAAAUCUUUUCCAGGGCUUCCCUGGUGGCGCAGUGGUUGGGAAUCCGCCUGCCAACGCAGGGGACGCGGGUUCGUUCCCUGGUCUAGGAGGAUCCCACAUGCCGCGGAGCGGCUGGGCCCGUGAGCCAUGGCCGCUGAGCCUGCGCGUCCGGAGCCUGUGCUCCACAGCGGGAGAGGCCACAACAGUGAGAGGCCUGCGUAACGC
ensembl:lncRNA